GGGUGUGUGUGUGUGUGGGGUGUGUGUGUGUGUGUGUGUGUGGAGUGUGUGUGUGUGGGGAGUGUGUGUGUGAUAGUCGAUGGAAUUGCCUCACACACUGACGGUGGAUCAAGGUUGUAAAGAACGACACAAUAAAUCAUGGCAGUGAGAUAUGAAGCUUUCUGAGUCCAAAAUGACACCCUGAUGGUAGUGAACCAUGUAUGGAAUAGGGUUCACUAUCUCCUAAUGCCAGGACCAUUGCAGAGAACAGAUAGCAGGACUCUUCUGCGGUUCUUCUGGCUUGAUCAAGAGAGAGAGAUGAGGGCUUAAUAUAGCGGUAAUUGAAAGCUUGAACCUGUGUGUGUAUGUGUGUGAGAGAGUGUGUAUGUGACUGUUUGUGGACAUCUAUGCCCUGAGUUAAUCCGUUUUUUUUUCAUUGGAUCAACAAGUCACAUUCUGUCAGCACAGAGGAAUGAAACUAAGUGACAUCAUAUCCUCCUUGUCUCAGUCCUCUUAGCCACAGUGUGAUGAGAUGCCUUCCCACCAGCCAGCUAGUGUAAGACAGAGUCAGUGGUAAUGUGGAGACUCUACUAAGGUGAUUUUGAGAGUCUGGCUGCAAUGUUAUUGCUUCAGAAGGGUUUCUGUAAAUUAUAGCCUCCUGUCAGUCAGCCAGCCAGAUCCCCCAGCAUGCCUAUGUAUGUCUUUUUCUGUUCUAUGAAAACCUAUGAACACACAGAGCCUGCAGCCCAAAAACCCUGUGCAGCAGAGCUCUAGAUGAAGCGUAAAGGGAGGAGGGAGUAGAGAUGGAGGAGGGGGAGGUGCAGGGUAAUAAUGACCAUGACUCAGCACUUUACACCUCCACUUAAAGACUUCACCCACCACCAACUGUUGUUAAGAGUUGUCUGUGUUGUUAAGAGUUGUCUGUGAUAUUAAGAGCUGUCUGUGUUGUUAAGAGUUGUCUGUGUUUUAGCAGCUGUCUGUGUUGUUAAGAGCUGUCUGUGUUGUCAGGAGCUGUCUGUGUUUUCAGGAGCUGUCUGUGUUUUAGCAGCUGUCUGUGUUGUUAACUAGUGAAUCAUGUGGUGUUUAUGGAUAUAGUGGAGGGGUCAGAUUGUUCUGUCUCUCUUCCAGGGCACUGCAGCCCUAUCAUGGUCCCAGCUGUGGAAUACCUGCUGCCUGCGCCACUAUAUAUCCAACCAGCAAUCAAAUAGACAGCAAAUAGUUAACGAACCAGCCAAUCAAAUAGCCAGGAAACAGUCAUUUAACCAGCCAGUCAGUCAAAUAGCCAGACAAACAAAUGGACCAACACUCAGCCAGCCAACCAGGGAACAGCUGGGACCAGUUAACCAGUCAACCAGCCAGUCAACCAGCCAGUCAACCAGCCAGUCAACCAGCCACUGAACAAAGAAAGGUAGUGGAUGUGUGAUUCACAGCCCCAGAUAUAGAAUAUCACCUCCUUCUCCUCCCUGCAGUGGAUUUCCUGGAAGAGGGCUUCUGAGAUGGCUUUGGGGAGAAGUGGAGGAUCUGGUUCUUAAAAGCUCUUUUUUCUCUCUCAAUUGCUCUUUUUCUCCUUUCUUUCUUUCUUUCUUCAGCUCUCUAUUUUACUCUCUCUGUUCACAGCUGAAUACAUGAAUGUACAGAAUUGUAUAUGAUGAAAAUAAAUAAAAAUAAAAAUCUGUAUGUGGAAAUGUGACGUAUUCCCACAGACAGUCUGUAAUUAACCAAUUUGAGUCAAUGCUUUUAACAAGCAUGAGGUCAACUUCCUGCUUUGAAGUCAAAGGUGAACCAGAUGAGUUAACCACCUCCUGUGCCACUCCAAAUUAGAUUUUUAUGAAGGAUUUUGGCAUGUGUAGUUUUUUGAGCAUGGAAUUACUCACAGUUGACAUUCAAUAAGUGCAGAGGAUUUUGUAGUAUUUUUAGUUGCAUUGCUGACUUUAAAGUGGGUUUAGUAUGUAAAGGGGAAACUGCACACUGUACCCUCAACCUACUUUAAAACACAAUGUGUGUAGUGAUAUGUCUCUGUGGCCUUUCUUGUCUGCAAAACACCCCAGGAGAGAAAAAGAGGAAGAGUAGAGGAUGACAAGAUGGAGGACAAAGAGAGGGAGGAAAUUAGUAAGGAAUAGAGUAUAAAAGGGGAAGGGGGAGGAGAGUAAUGGAGGUAGG
ensembl:lncRNA